UCGGCCUAUCCGGGAAUGCUUGUGAUUUCCAUGGCAGCGCCUCUGUGGACCGAGCGGACUAGGGUCCUGGCGAGGCUUGGGGGAAGAGGAAAGAGGCGAAGCAGCGCGGAGGGAGCGGCGGCCGGCCGGCCUGCGGGGCGAUGGGGUCCGUGCGAAGCGCUCUGCAAGUCUUGAUCUCUUGGGACCACAUUCUCCAUGGCAUGAAACACAGGCAGUGACCAGGGCUGGCCAGCCACCUUUAACCGCAUGAAGUGGCUUUUCCACAAAAGAUGGUGGGGAAACUCAAGCAGAACCUCUUGCUGGCCUGUCUGGUGAUUAGUUCGGUGACUGUCUUCUACUUGGGGCAACAUGCUAUGGAAUGCCAUCACCAAAUAGAGGAGCGAAGCCAACUGACCCGAGUAGAGCCAGCCAAAGCAACCACAAGAACCAGCCAGGGCAUGAAGGAAAAUGCCACGCUGGCUUACAACAAAGACAUGCCUUUAAUAUUUAUUGGGGGAGUACCCCGGAGUGGCACCACCUUGAUGCGGGCAAUGCUGGAUGCUCACCCAGACAUCCGCUGCGGAGAAGAGACACGGGUGAUCCCUCGGAUUUUGGCCGUCAAGCAGAUGUGGGCCCGGUCAAGCAAAGAGAAGAUGCGGCUCAACGAGGCGGGCGUCACAGAUGAGGUGUUGGACUCAGCCAUGCAGGCCUUCCUCCUGGAGAUUAUUGUGAAGCACGGGGAGCCAGCUCCUUACCUGUGCAACAAGGACCCCUUUGCCCUCAAGUCCUUAAGCUACCUUGCCAGGAUUUUCCCCAAUGCCAAGUUUAUUUUGAUGGUCAGAGAUGGCCGGGCCUCUGUUCAUUCCAUGAUCUCCAGGAAGGUCACCAUUGCUGGCUUUGAUCUGAAUAGCUAUAGGGAUUGCCUGACCAAGUGGAAUCGUGCCAUUGAGACCAUGUAUAACCAGUGCUUGGAGGCCGGCCUCGACCGUUGCAUGAUGAUGUAUUAUGAACAGCUAGUCUUGCACCCCGAGCAGUGGCUCAGGACGCUCCUCAAGUUUCUCCGCAUCCCAUGGGAUCCUGCAGUUUUGCACCAUGAAGAGAUGAUUGGGAAAGCUGGGGGAGUCUCCCUGUCAAAAGUUGAAAGAUCUACGGACCAAGUUAUUAAGCCAGUAAAUGUGGAGGCCUUGUCGAAAUGGGUUGGAAAAAUCCCCAUUGAUGUCCUUCAGGAUAUGCCAGUGAUCGCACCAAUGUUGGGGAAGCUUGGCUACGACCCCUAUGCCAACCCACCCAAUUAUGGGAAGCCGGAUCAGAAAGUCCUUGAAAACACAAGAAGGGUUUUCAAAGGUGAAUUUCAACUUCCCGACUUCCUAAAAGGAAUGCCACAGCUAAGGAAGACAGUAGAAAGGAAAUCCCUUGUCAAGCUAAAGUGAAGAAGGAAUUGAUAAAACUGAUGCAGUGAACUAGAAGACUGGAUGUGACUUAAUGAAUGUUGGAGUCAUUUUAAAGAAAGCACCAUGGCAAAAUCUACAAAGACCUGGUUUCUCAGAAUAUUUCCCCAUUUCAUAAUGCCAUGUAAACCUCUCUGUCUUUCUUCUUACACCACUGACUGCAGAGCUGACCUACUGAAAUGCUGGAGAUGUUUAUAGGGAAUGGUUCUGGGAUCAAGACAUUAAAGGGGGAGGAAUCCAGGUGGGAAUUUCUCCUGUAUAAAACAUUUUGGAGUUGAUGAGAGUUGUGCAGUUGUGGUAUGCUUCCUAUUAAUCUCUGUGGCAGUAAUACAGAGAAGAUAUUGGCAGAUUGAAUCCCAAGCACUUAGAGAUUGCAUUGAUUCCCACUUACACAAUUGUUUUAAAACCUCAAAGGAAACAGACUGAUACAGAGAUUUUCCUUCCUUCCUUGAAUGGUACCUUCAGUACUGAUUUAGGAUGUCAGAUAUGUUAACUUUUGAGAAGCUUUCCAUAAGACUGCUAACUUAACAAACUAACCCUCAUGCGUGAAUUGCAGGGUGUGUCCAUAUUGAUGCAUAUUGGUUUCUCUGUGUGCAUACCUUCCAAGGGGAUGAUUGGCAGUCACUGCUUCAUAAGGAUGAAAAGAAUGAAGAAUGGCCUGUUUAUCCUUCCGCUUCACAAAAUACAGGAAAUGAACCAUUGCACAGAAUGACUAUGGAAAUUCUUAAAUACGUCUUUCCUUGCCCUUUGAGCUAUUUUUUCCCCACACAUAGUUCACAUCCAUCAUUAGAUCCACAUACAGUGGAUAGCUUCUCUGUGUAAAUUGCUUUUCCUUGAUUGGGCAAUCAUUUUUUAAUUUGUGGAAAAUGGUGUUUGCUGUUUGCCACCCCACCCUUUUUCCAGUUUAGCUGAUUUAUGAAAUCAUGUUUUAAUUAUUUAAAAAUGGCUUCUGAAAUGUGGAGAUCGAACUUAAAGGUUUACAUUCCAACAGUCUUUUGUAUUUUAUUUUUCAAAAUAAAAGCUUUAAAUGUG